UUCCGAUACAGUGGCGUGCAUCUUUUGUCCGCAGAUUCCUGGCUUUUUGAAAGCGGUGCAUUGAAAGCGCAAUGAAAGUCUUCAGAAUACUUUUACUUCUCGCAAUCUUUAUUAGGUCCUACUGCCAAAAUACGAAUACAUUUUUAACGGCCCUUGCAAGCAGUUCAUCAUAUUGGGUACACCAGACAACGCACACACUUUCACAGUAUACAAAAUGCUUUCAAUACGGAAUUCUCGAGGGAUACGGAAUGACGAAAUUCCUACUCGGCCAAAAAUACGAAGUUCUAAAGAACAUAAGUGAUACGGACACAAAAGUAGACAUUUGUCACUGGUAUACACAUGUGCUGGAAAUACGUGACGCAAAUUUCACCAUGAACAUGACCAGAUUGUGGGACAGAAAAAAUAUUACCUACAAACUGAAGUACUGGAAUAAUACAGAAAAAUGCUUUAUACUUCAAUUCAAUGUCGAUGGAAAUGAACAUUGCGAAAUUGACACAUUGGACAUGUUACCUAAUAAUACCGAUAAAGUUCUCAGUUGUGAAAAGAACAUCCCUGCCGUUUGCGGCAACAAAACAUCGUGGGAAAAAUAUUACGGCACUAAUUGCACCUACUAAAAGUGGUGUGUAGCGCAGCAUGACAAAUUACAAAUCUAUGAAGUAAAAAAAACGAAGCCGAUAAAUAAACAAAUGAACACAGCU
rnacentral:misc_RNA from 1 species